rnacentral:rRNA from 1 species
UACGUAGGGCGCAAGCGUUGUCCGGAAUUAUUGGGCGUAAAGAGCUCGUAGGCGGCCUGUUGCGUCCGCUGUGAAAUCCCGGGGCUCAACCCCGGGCCUGCAGUGGAUACGGGCUGGCUGGAGGCAGGCAGGGGAGAACGGAAUUCCUGGUGUAGCGGUGAAAUGCGCAGAUAUCAGGAGGAACACCGGUGGCGAAGGCGGUUCUCUGGGCCUGUUCUGACGCUGAGGAGCGAAAGCGUGGGGAGCGAACGGG